rnacentral:rRNA from 1 species
AAUAGAUACCCGGGUAGUCCAUGCCGUAAACGUUGGGCACUAGGUGUGGGGCUCAUUCCACGAGGUUCCGUGCCGCAGCAAACGCAUUAAGUGCCCCGCCUGGGGAGUACGGCCGCAAGGCUAAAACUCAAAGGAAUUGACGGGGGCCCGCACAAGCGGCGGAGCAUGCGGAUUAAUUCGAUGCAACGCGAAGAACCUUACCAAGGCUUGACAUGCACGGGAAGCCACCAGAGAUGGUGGUCUCUUUGGACACUCGUGCACAGGUGGUGCAUGGUUGUCGUCAGCUCGUGUCGUGAGAUGUUGGGUUAAGUCCCGCAACGAGCGCAACCCUCGUCCCAUGUUGCCAGCGGGUUAUGCCGGGGACUCAUGGGAGACUGCCGGGGUCAACUCGGGAGGAAGGUGGGGAUGACGUCAAAUCAUCAUGCCCCUUAAGUCCAGGGCUUCACGCAUGCUACAAUGGCUGGUACAAAGGGCUGCAAUGCCGCAAGGUUGAGCGAAUCCCAAAAAGCCAGUCUCAGUUCGGAGUU